UACAGAGGAGCCAAGCGUUGUCCGGAUUGACUGGGCGUAAAGCGCACGCAGGCGGCACCGCGCGUGGGGUGUGAAAUCUGGCCGCUUAACGGCCAGGCGCCAUCCCAUACGGCGGAGCUGGAGUGAUGCAGAGGUCGAUGGAAUUGCCGGUGUAGUGGUGAAAUGCGUAGAGAUGUGGAGGAACACCAAUGGCGAAGGCAGCCUUCUGGGCCAACACUGACGCUCAUGCACGAAAGCGUGGGGAGCAAACAGG
rnacentral:rRNA from 1 species